rnacentral:lncRNA from 1 species
AGUGCACAUGGAAGUAUUUGGAGUAGGACCGAUGCAAGUUCUGGUUGCCUCUUUAUCUGCAGCAAUCGAUAAGGAUACAAGCACAGGGAGUUUCAAUGAUAGCAUCCACGAAGAGUUAGUAUUUUAAUUAUUUAGUGAGGCAGUCUUGCUUUUUUUUUUCUUUUUCUUGGUAGGAUCAUACGUGUGGUUGUUAAAAAUUUUAAAUAAUAAUUGAAUAAUAAAUAAGUUUUAAAUGUUUUAAGUAUUUUAAACGAAUAUAAACGAGUUUGUUUAGGAACAUAAAUAAAUUAAAUAAUUUUUUUUAAUAUUUGAUUCUUUUAAUAAAUAAGCCUUAAAAUAUUGUUCAUAUUUAUUGAUUUAAUUUGAUAAGAGAAAAAAGAACAUGAAUCAAAUC